AAGGUAGCACCAUUAAGCCGUCCGGGGAAUGGCUUGGCUCGGGUGCCGAAGAAGGACGUGCCCAGCGGCGAUACGCCACGGGGAGGCGUAUGGAGCCUGAGAUCCGUGGAUCUCCGAAUGGGACCUCCUGGUCGUUAAGGCGGCCACUCCCUCAUGGGAGGGGGAACCCGGGGAAUUGAAACAUCUUAGUACCCGGAGGAGAAGAAACCAAUAGGGAUUCCGUGAGUACCGGCGAGGGAAAACGGAAUAGAGCAAACCGAAUCCUUUUCCGAAAGGAGAAGGAGAUGUGGAGUUGUGGGACCUGAUCCAAUGCCUCCCAGGCGAACCCGAAGUCCUCUGGAAAGAGGCGCCGUAGAGGGUGAAAGCCCCGUAGGGGUAAGUCUGGUGGCUAUGAGGUCGGGUAUCCCGAGUACCGUGCCUUGGAUAUGGCGCGGGAAUCUGGGUGACAUCAGGCAUCCAACUCUAAAUACACCCCGAGUCCGAUAGCGAACUAGUAGGGUGACCGAAAACUGAAAAGUACCGCGGAAGCGGGGUGAAAAGAGCCUGAAACCGGGCGGCGACAACCUGAUGGGGCGAGAAAGGGUAGAAGUUCCGUAGCUGGAAUGGACCGUCGUCCCAUCGUCCGUGUUGAAGAACGGGCCAGGGAGUUCCGUCCGUCGGCGAGGCUAAGCGCGAAGGCGCGUAACCGAAGCGAAAGCAACAUGCCCGCAGCCCCGCAAUGGGGUCAGGGGCGGGGUGCGCUCGCCCGGAGUCGGCGGAGGGAGACCCGAAGCCGGUCGAUCUAGGCCUGGGUAGGUUGAAGCCUCUCGAAAGGGAGGUGGAGGACCGAACCGGUGCUGACGUGCAAAUCGCUCGGUUGACCUGGGUCUAGGGGUGAAAGGCCAAUCUAGGCCGGCAUUAGCGGGUUCCCCCCGAGACUGCCCGCAGGUAGACCUUCCCGGAGGUAGCCGGUGGGGUAGAGUUACUGAUUGGGUGCCCAGGGACCGAAAGGACCCAGCACCCUUUCAAACUCCGAACCUGCCGGCGCCGUAGAAGGGAGGAGCUAGGGUCGUCGGGAUAAGCUUGACGCCCGAGAGGGAAACAACCCAGAGGUGGGUUAAGGUCCCAAAGUGCCGGCUAAGUGUCAUGGAAAGGGCGUCCAUGGCCUAAGACAGCGGGGAGGUUGGCUUAGAAGCAGCCACCCUUUAAAGAGUGCGUAACAGCUCACCCGCCGAGGUCAUGGGCCCCGAAAAUGGACGGGACUAAGCCGGCCACCGAGACCCACCGCCGCCGAGAGGCGAUGCGGUAGGGGGGCGUGCCGCGGGAUGAGAAGCGUCUGCGUGAGCAGGCGUGGAUCGCGCGGCAUCGCGAAUCCUGGCGGGAGUAGGAGCAAAGAGCCGUGAGAAUCGGCUUCGCCGUAGGGGCUAAGGGUUCCUCGGCAACGCUCGUCAGCCGAGGGUUAGGCGGUCCUAAGGUGCACCCCAAGUGGAGUGUACCGAAUGGGAAGCCGGUUAAUAUUCCGGCCCCGUGGGUGUUCCGCCCAGCGGAUGACGCUUCGGGCUAGGCCAAGUACCGUCGCCGCGGUAUCUAAGCGUUGAAACUCCUGGAGUUCCGUAAUGGAGAGAAGGGAGUGAAGACGUGAUGGGCCCUCCUAGGGGGGGUUUGGCUGAUGCCUGGAGCCCGUGAAAAGUCCGUUGGGGUCAAGCCCACGACCGUACCAAGAACUGACACAGGUGCCCCUGGGUGAGAAGCCUAAGGCGUGUGGGACCAAUCGACCCGAGGGAAUUCGGCAAAUUAGCCCUGUACCUUCGGAAGAAGGGGUGCCUACCUCGAGAAGAGGUAGGUCGCAGUGACUAGGGGACUCCGACUGUUUAACAAAAACAUAGGUCGGUGCAAGCCCGAAAGGGUGUGUAUACCGGCUGAAGCCUGCCCAGUGCCGGUACCUGAAACCCGGGUACAACCGGGCGAAGGGCCGGUAAACGGCGGGGGUAACUAUGACCCUCUUAAGGUAGCGUAAUACCUCGCCGCUUAAUUGGCGGCUUGCAUGAAGGCUCAACGAGGGUCCCACUGUCCCCGGGUCGAGUCCCCUGAAACCGAUGUACUGGUGCACAAUCCAGUCUCUCCCACGUGAAAGCGAAGUCCCUGUGGAGCUUUACUGCAGCCUGCCGUUGCGGUAUUGUUGGGGAUGCAGAGGGUAGGCGGGAGCCGUCGAAGCCACCUCUCCGGGGGUGGUGGAGGCGCCGAUGGAACACCGCCCUUCCUCAGCGGUACCGCUAACCCGCGCUGCGGGGACACCGGUAGGUGGGCAGUUUGGGUGGGGCGCCACGCCCUCGAUAAGGAAACAAGGGCCCCCAAAGGUCGGCUCAGGGGGGUCAGAAAUCCCCCGUAGAGUGCAAGGGCAAAAGCCGGCUUGACUCGGAUCCGCACAACAAGGGUCCGAGAUGGGAAACCAGGGCCUAGCGAACCACCCAGUCCUCACCGAUGGGGGCGGGUGAUAAGAGAGAAGUUACCCUAGGGAUAACUGAGUUGUCUCCGGCAAGAGUUCACAUCGACCCGGAGGCUUGCUACUUCGUUGUCGUCUCUCCCUAUCCUGGCGGUGCAGCAGCUGCCAAGGGUGGGGCUGUACGCCCAUUAAAAGGGAUCGUGAGAUGGGUUCACUACGUCGCGAGACAGUAGGGUUGCUUUUCCGUGGGAGUGUUCGGCGUCUGAGGGGAAGGAGCCUCUAGUACGAGAGGAACGGGGCUCCGCGGCCUCUAGUCUACCGGUUGUCUGGCAAGGCAUUGCCGGGCAGCCACGCCGUAGCCGAUAAGUGCUGAAAGCAUCUAAGCACGAAACGGCCCCUGAAACGAGACGCCGUUGAGGGCACCCCUAAAAGAGGGGUUUGAUAGAGCCCGGGUGUAAGCACCGAGCCUUCGGGCGAGGUGUUCAGCCCGUGGGUCACUAACGCCCAAAGCUAUCUUCCA
rfam:Aciduliprofundum boonei T469, complete genome.